AUUGAACGCUGGCGGCAGGCCUAACACAUGCAAGUCGAGCGGGGUUUUCGGACCUAGCGGCGGACGGGUGAGUAAUGCGUAGGAAGCUACCCGAUAGAGGGGGAUACCAGUUGGAAACGACGGUUAAUACCGCAUAAUGUCUACGGACCAAAGUGUGGGACCUUCGGGCCACAUGCUAUCGGAUGCGCCUACGUGGGAUUAGCUAGUUGGGGAGGGAAUGGCUCACCAAGGCGACGAUCCCUAGCUGGUUUGAGAGGAUGAUCAGCCACACUGGAACUGAGACACGGUCCAGGCUCCUACGGGAGGCAGCAGUGGGGAGUAUUGGACAAUGGGCGCAAGCCUGAUCCAGCCAUGCCGCGUGUGUGAAGAAGGCCUUCGGGUUGUAAAGCACUUUCAGCGAGGAGGAAGGGGUGAGUGUUAAUAGUACUCAUCUUUGACGUUACUCGCAGAAGAAGCACCGGCUAACUCUGUGCCAGCCGCCGCCGUAAAAC
rnacentral:rRNA from 1 species